CCGGAUGAAGAGAUUCUUUGCUCUGACUGGUGAUGAGCCCUAUGAGUGCUGACG
rnacentral:snoRNA from 1 species